CCUACGGGAGGCUGCAGUAGGGAAUCUUCCACAAUGGGCGAAAGCCUGAUGCAGCAACGCCGCGUGGAUGAAGAAGGUCUUCGGAUCGUAAAACCCUGUUGUUAGAGAAGAAAGUGCGUGAGAGUAACUGUUCACGUUUCGACGGUAUCUAACCAGAAAGCCACGGCUAACUACGUGCCAGCAGCCGCGGUAAUACGUAGGGGGCAAGCGUUAUCCGGUUUUAUUGGGCGUAAAGGGAACGCAGGCGGUCUGUUAAGUCUGAUGUGAAAGCCUUCGGCUUAACCGGAGUAGUGCAUUGGAAACUGGGAGACUUGAGUGCAGAAGAGGAGGGUGGAACUCCAUGUGUAGCGGUGAAAUGCGUAGAUAUAUGGAAGAACACCAGUGGCGAAGGCGGCUCUCUGGUCUGUAACUGACGCUGAGGUUCGAAAGCGUGGGUAGCAAACAGGAUUAGAUACCCUUGUAGUC
rnacentral:rRNA from 1 species